rnacentral:tRNA from 1 species
GGGGAUGUAGCUCAGAUGGUAGAGCGCUCGCUUAGCAUGCGAGAG